GACGAACGCUGGCGGUGUGCUUAACACAUGCAAGUGGAGCGACGAACCAGAGCUUGCUCUGGGGCAGAGCCGCGAACGGGUGAGUAACACGUGGGUAACCUACCCCGAUUACCGGGACAACCCGAGGAAACUCGGGCUAAUACCGGAUGUGCUCCCUCCCCAUGAGGGGAGUGAGUAAAGGAAGCUUCGGCCUCCGAAUCGGGAGGGGCCCGCGGCCCAUUAGUUUGUUGGUGGGGUAACGGCCUACCAAGACUGCGAUGGGUAGCUGGUCUGAGAGUAGGAUAAGGCCGCCUGGGACUGAGACACGGCCCAGACUCCUACGGGAGACAGCGGUGGGGAGGAUUGAGCAAUGCGCGAAAGCGUGACGCAGCAACACCGCGUGGGGGAAGAAGGCCUUCGGGUUGUAAACCCCUUUCAGGAGGGACGAAGGCCGGCCGGUGAAUAGCCGUGCCGGUUGACGGUACCUCCACAAGAAGCCCCGGCUAACUACGUGCCAGCCGCCGCCGUAACAC
rnacentral:rRNA from 1 species